AUUGGAAAGAGGAGUGGCGGACGGGUGAGUAACACGUGGGUAACCUACCCAUCAGAGGGGGAUAACACUUGGAAACAGGUGCUAAUACCGCAUAACAGUUUAUGCCGCAUGGCAUAAGAGUGAAAGGCGCUUUCGGGUGUCGCUGAUGGAUGGACCCGCGGUGCAUUAGCUAGUUGGUGAGGUAACGGCUCACCAAGGCCACGAUGCAUAGCCGACCUGAGAGGGUGAUCGGCCACACUGGGACUGAGACACGGCCCAGACUCCUACGGGAGGCAGCAGUAGGGAAUCUUCGGCAAUGGACGAAAGUCUGACCGAGCAACGCCGCGUGAGUGAAGAAGGUUUUCGGAUCGUAAAACUCUGUUGUUAGAGAAGAACAAGGACGUUAGUAACUGAACGUCCCCUGACGGUAUCUAACCAGAAAGCCACGGCUAACUACGUGCCAGCAGCCGCGGUAAUACGUAGGUGGCAAGCGUUGUCCGGAUUUAUUGGGCGUAAAGCGAGCGUCAGGCGGUUUCUUAAGUCUGAUGUGAAAGCCCCCGGCUCAACCGGGGAGGGUCAUUGGAAACUGGGAGACUUGAGUGCUAGAAGAGGAGAGUGGAAUUCCAUGUGUAGCGGUGAAAUGCGUAGAUAUAUGGAGGAACACCAGUGGCGAAGGCGGCUCUCUGGUCUGUAACUGACGCUGAGGCUCGAAGGCGUGGGGAGCUAAACAGGAUUAGAUACCCUGGUAGUCCACGCCGUAAACGAUGAGUGCUAAGUGUUGGAGGGUUUCCACCCUUCAGUGCUGCAGCAAACGCAUUAAGCACUCCGCCUGGGGAGUACGACCGCAAGG
rnacentral:rRNA from 1 species